rnacentral:rRNA from 1 species
AUCAUGGCUCAGAUUGAACGCUGGCGGCAGGCCUAACACAUGCAAGUCGAGCGGGGUCAAGGUGCUUGCACUUUGACUUAGCGGCGGACGGGUGAGUAAUGCCUAGGAAUCUGCCUGGUAGUGGGGGACAACGUUUCGAAAGGAACGCUAAUACCGCAUACGUCCUACGGGAGAAAGCAGGGGACCUUCGGGCCUUGCGCUAUCAGAUGAGCCUAGGUCGGAUUAGCUAGUUGGUGAGGUAAUGGCUCACCAAGGCUACGAUCCGUAACUGGUCUGAGAGGAUGAUCAGUCACACUGGAACUGAGACACGGUCCAGACUCCUACGGGAGGCAGCAGUGGGGAAUAUUGGACAAUGGGCGAAAGCCUGAUCCAGCCAUGCCGCGUGUGUGAAGAAGGUCUUAGGAUCGUAAAGCACUUUAAGUUGGGAGGAAGGGCAGUAAAUUAAUACUUUGCUGUUUUGACGUUACCG